AAAAGCCAAUAGGGGUGCCGAAAAUCGGCUGAGAAGGACUCAAGGUCCUACCCUUGAACCUGACCUGGGUAAUACCGGCGUAGGGAAUUGGCUUUUAGUAUAC
rnacentral:ncRNA from 1 species